GACAGAGGUGCCAAGCGUUAGGCGGAAUCACUGGGCUUAAAGCGUGUGUAGGCGGAAUUCUAAGUACCUUGUGAAAUCCCCACAGCUCAACUGUGGAACUGCUCGGUAUACUGGUUUUCUUGAGCCACUUAGGGGUCUGUCGGAACAAGCCGGUGGAGCGGUGAAAUGCGUAGAUAUCGCUUGGAACGCCAAAGGUGAAACAGACAGCUGGAGUGUGCUGACGCUGAGACACGAAGCCAGGGAGCGAACGGG
rnacentral:rRNA from 1 species